UUCCUGACUCAGGGGUCAAACCUGCAUCUCCUGAAUCGGCAGAUGAGAAGACGAGCACAGAGGGGAAGGUCACUUCCCUUCUAUACGAGCUGACUCUGGAGCCAGGACCUAUGCUGAGCUUUCCCACGAGCUGCGGAAGUACAAGGAGUUCCCAACAGACGUCCUCUCAAGGCUGGUUGGCCUGAAAUACGCCAUAUACCCUUAUCUACAUCCACCACCAGCAAAGAGUUCGGGCCUCCAUGACUGACUUGGAUCUAUCAGGAUUGUUCCCCUCAGGCUGGAACUGAGAUGAACGCCCCUCGAAGCCCAAAGCUGACUGAAGGAGGACAGAUGGGUGUUCUGAUCCAGAGAGGAAGGCCGGGUGGGCGAGAAAUGAAUGUCGAGUGGGCAACUGGCAAACUCCUGGUCCCCAGAUCCCACAUGGCUGUAGGGCUCUUUCCACCAGAUUUUUUCAGAUCACGCCUAAACACCCAUUCCAUGUGUUGUAGGCAAAGUUUGGCAGAAAGUGGCAGAAGGUAGCAUCCCACCAAUGUUCUGAUCUGUGCCUCUGACGUCAGUAGCACAAAGGGUGAAAAACAUCUCAGUCGGCUUUCCUGCUGGUUGCAUAAACUCGGAAGUGGCUUUUUGAAAGAUGGCUUUAGGAGACCUGUGAGAGGAGGGGCAUGUAAGUCCACAGACCAGGGCCUGGACGGUGCACACCCCUGCCGCAUUUCUUGGCUAGAGCCCUUCGGAUGCCCUCCACGUAAGCUCCACAGGAAAGAAUCCUGUCCACUACCUUUUCAGCUGGGAAAAGAGCCUGAGAGGGUGAUUCCAAUCAGGCCAGUUGGUUUAACCUCAUGAAA